rnacentral:rRNA from 1 species
GACAGAGGGUGCAAACGUUGUUCGGAAUUACUGGGCGUAAAGCGUGUGUAGGCGGUCUUCUAAGUCGGGUGUGAAAUCCCUGGGCUCAACCCAGGAAGUGCACUCGAAACUGGAGGGCUAGAGUAUCGGAGAGGUUGGUGGAAUUCUCGGUGUAGAAGUGAAAUUCGUAGAUAUCGAGAGGAACACCUGUGGCGAAAGCGGCGCACUGGACCACAACUGACGCUGAGGCGCGAAAGCUAGGGGAGCAAACAGG